rnacentral:lncRNA from 1 species
GCCGCCGCCGAUCGGCGACCCGCUGACCAACCCGUCCGCCUCCUUCUCCUCCCUCGACGACCUCGCCCACGAGCUCGCGUCCCUCGACGACCUCGCCAGCCGCGGCUCGUGGCGGUCCGUCCUCGACAAGGUCGCCCGCGCCCGGUCCCUCUCCCUCCUCCGGCACCCCCACGACCACCUCGCCUACCUCUCCUACAACGCCCUCGCCCUCGCCAAGCUCCGUCGCUUCGCCGACGCCUC